AAUAUAGAGCCAGAGGGCCGGCACGUGCCGCCCGGUGGCCAAUCGUAGCCCUCCGUGGAGAGCCCACCUCAAGGAUGCUGGGUGCUGUUAGCUGCCUUCUGCCCCGGCGCAAACUUUGCCAAGGAAGAAGCGGGCUGCGGCGCACAGGACCCGGGGAACCUCGCGGCGCCUGUAGGGUCAAGGAGGCAGCGCCUGGCAUCGCCCUGAGCCGACCCGGGCUGCCCCCGCAGAGGUGCGGGGACAGGGGAGGGAGCUGAAGGUAAGAUGGGAAGCAGGAAAAUAUGAGCCAAUGAAGAUGUCCUCAGAGCUAUCACUUAGAGCAGUGGCUCUCAACCUUUCCAGUCUACUGUACCCCUUUCCAGCCUACUGUACCUCCAAGUUUCACCUCAUUUAAAAACUACUUGCUUAUAAAAUCAGACAUAAAAUACAAAAGUGCCACAGCACACUAUUACUGAAAAUGGCUUACUUCCGCAUUUUUACCUUAUUAUUAUAAAAUAAAUCAGUUGGGAUAUAAAUAUUGUACUUACAUUUCAGUGUAUAUAGAACAGUAUAAACAAGUCAUUGUCUGCUUUAAAUUUUAGUUUGUACUAACUUAGCUAAUGCUUUUCAUGUGGCCUGUUGUAAAACUAGGCAAAUAUCUAGAUGACUGGAUGUACCCCCUGGAAGACCUCUGCGUACCCCCCAGAGGUAGGCUACCCCUGCUUGAGAACCACUGACUUCAUAGAACCUAUAAUGGCUUUGAAUCGAAAUAAGGUAGACAAAACCCACUUGUGUAUUGCCUUCAGGGGCAAAAUUACCGGGGGCAGGGCGGGAGAGGCACAAAGUCUGAGGAGACUGUUAUCCCGACCAGAGGGUCACUUUUUUUUUUUUUUUUUUUGUGACUAACGGAUUCAGUUGCAUCCUCCCUGCUGGAAACUGAAUGCCGAGCGUCAGCCCGUGAAUAUUAGAUUGCGGUGUUCUGAGCUUCGGUUUCUGUCUCCUCCGGCUGCGGUUUCUGGUCGAAUCCCAGCUGGCCCAGACUCGAGCUGAAGUAGGAGGAAUCGCUGUCGAGUGAAGAGUGCACAUUGUGUGAUUGAUGAACUCCCCCCCCCCCUUCCUCCCCCGCCAGCCCCGCUCCCAGCAAGGACCGCAGCCUUCCCACUGCAACUGCUCACUUGGUAAUGGAGAGUUGUUGCCUGUUCAGUGAUUAACUUGAUAUCUAGUCUCCAGAAGUGUCAUGGGCCAAUGUAACUCUGGGCUAGCCGAUCUCACGACUUUUAAAAGUAUAGGUUGUGGGUUCAUAAAUAUAUAAUAGCACGUGGUCCUAGAGCCAACCAACACUGACCGCUAAUUGUACACGUAGAAGAAACGGGCUUUUUGUGCCGCCUGUCUGCCACAGAGCUAUUGUUCCUGGCGAGGCAUUUCAAACGUUCCCUUGGAUAGCCCCAGCGUUACUGCAGAUAACAAACACGGUGAAUGUGAAAGCUGUGCAGAUCAGUUCUUCUGAGACUAUAGAGUAUUUGCAGUGGCUUUCAUUGUAUCUUAUUAUUGGCAGUCUUUGGAAAUAUAAAGAGGCAGGAACUAAAA